AUACCCAUCGUGAAUAAUGUAAAUGGCAUUUUGAAAAGAGUUUGAGUUUGGGAACAAUUUCAUAGGCUGUUCUGUGUGAGAAUUAUGAAGCAGUUUACUUCUUAACUUUCUGUAGCUGUAUUUACCAUACAUGAAUGACUUUAAAUAGCAGUGAUAACAUUCAUCUUGAUCUUAGUGGUGUUUUAGUAGGCAUGAUUCUGCACAGCUGCUGGCGCUUUUCAUCCACUUUCUCCAUGUCCUUCUGAUUUGUAAAUUUUAAUGCAAAGUGUGAGGCCUUGCUGAAAGUGAUGUGUUUUCUAUUUGAAUCAGGAAGAGACAAAGGCAGUGUUCGCACACUACAAAGAAAUGAUGAGAUGCCCUAAAAAGUAAAAGAUGCAUGCUCACUUCAAGCCUGCCAACACUGCCACUCAGCUGUCCCAAGUCACUCAACGUCUGCAUGACAGGGGAAUGUGUUAUCGCACAUCUAUCAUCCAAUUUACACCUUGAAAUGACAGCAGCUGGCAAAGAAGAAAACAGCAGCAAAACAAUCUCUUGGAGGAACGGGUAUAGAAUGAGAUGAUUCUGGAAUACUGAAGUGGAGAAGCAUGCAAGAGGGGCUCUGAAUUCUGUGGCAGCUGUCUGUGAGUGCUAGAAUGAGCCUGGACUUUGGUGGUCUGAGUGAAAAGCCUAAUCCCGUUCUUGCUUUAACCACUACCACUGAUCUGACCUCCCAGGGAGGUUGUGGAUGCCCCGUCCUUGGAGGUGUUCAA